rnacentral:rRNA from 1 species
GACAGAGGAUGCAAGCGUUAUCCGGAAUGAUUGGGCGUAAAGCGUCUGUAGGUGGCUCUUUAAGUCCGCCGUCAAAUCCCAGGGCUCAACCCUGGACAGGCGGUGGAAACUACCAAGCUGGAGUACGGUAGGGGCAGAGGGAAUUUCCAGUGGAGCGGUGAAAUGCGUAGAUAUUGGAAAGACCACCAAUGGCGAAGGCACUCUACUGGGCCAUUACUGACACUGAGAGACGAAAGCUAGGGGAGCAAAUGGG